UGCCUUCAACCCUGGCAGGAGGGAACCUCCAAGUUUGCCACGCUGGAAAUGAACCCAAGGAGAGCCCAGAGGAGGCAGAAGGAGACAGGUGUCAUCCAGGGCACGGUCCCUUACCUGGGCACAUUCCUCACUGACCUGGUGAUGCUGGACACUGCCAUGAAGGACUAUCUGUAUGGGAGACUCAUCAACUUCGAAAAGAGAAGGAAGGUGAGGAGCUGCCACCCUCAAGGUUUUGGGGGGGG